AUCAGUAAAUAGAGUUUCUGAGAAUUGUUUAAUAGGGGAGGGGCGGAACAAACGCCUAUCGGCCUCUUUUUAUUUUCGGCCUACAUCAAAAUUCUUGUGGGAAUUAAACCAAAAAAUGAACAAACGUUUUGGUUUUGCUUCUAAAUUGAGACCAGUAUUUGUAGAGGCUGUCACCAACACACAAACUGCUCACUAUGCAAACGGAUGUGGUAAGAAGGACACCAGCUGCCCAAAGAAAGAACCACAGAAACCGUGUCCUAAGAAGAAGCCCGAACACUGUCCCAAAAAGAAGAGGGAAAAUAAAUGCCCAAAGGAAGACCCGUGCGAACCAAAAAAGCCCCCGCCAGCGAAAUCGUGCGAUCCCUGUGCGAGACCUCCGCCCUGUUCGAAGCCGCCCAAACAGCCGGAACCCAAACCAGACCCCUGCAGAAAGCCGACAGAAGACCCCUGCCUGCAGAAAGAAAAAUGUCCGAAAACUGGCUGUGCGGAGAAGGAAAAAUGCCCAAAGAAAGAAAUGAAGAAAAGUGACUGUAGAGUAGAUGAUCCUUGCCCGAAAAUAAGACCCGGCCCCUGUCCGAAGCCAGUUAUCUGUCCCCCGACGUGCAAAUCGGACUGCUAAAAUCCUUCCGGUUAUAACUCUCCACAACUGUAUGGCGAGACUGCUGUCAGUAAAGAAAGUCAAAGAUUUCCUUAAGAAGCACCCAGCAACAUUGUCGGUUCCGUACAUGUGUUGAAAAUUAUUUAAGAGUGCCGACUCAACUUUUAUAAUGAUUGCUAUUAUAUUUGGAAAAUUGAAAAUUUUUUGAAAUUAUCUGAUGGGCAGAGCCAGCAGCAGUCUGAGACAGUUCUCUGACUACACUGCAGUGUAGUCGACAGUGCCGUCGUCGAGUGACUGUACUUGGCUGUAAGAAGGUUUACACACAGUUUCUAUUUGGUGUGAUGAAUGGCAGAUUGCUCUAAAUGCAGAAGAAUGCGGGCUGAAUUCAAGGAGGAUUUGGAAGAACAGAGGGUUGCGGGCAUGGAUACAAACGAAGGUACAGCCAGCACUUGCGAAGAAAUUAGUCAAGAUGUCGAUCAUCAACCAAAGUAGGGCAACAAACUACCACCCACACCAAACAAACGCACGAGGGUAUUUGCUUCACCUAAAAAAUCAGAAAAAGGGCCUAAGAUCCUCGUAUAGGAGAGGCAUAUAUUGCACUACAAACUGCUUUAUCUAAAACUAGACGAGUUUGACGCCUAUGGAGAGUACAUAGGGAACGUUCUACGGUCCAUGAACAACAGAACACGUGCUUUUGUUCAGAAAGAAUUUUCCGACAAUAUUUUCAGAGCAGGAAGCGGCUGUUUCGAACAUUCUAGACAGUUCAACCAACAGACAACAGUUGCUCGUCGCAUUUACCGAUUCAUUCAACUCAAGUUCAUGCCCAUGAGCAGAUACAAAGCAACUUCCAACAGACAUCUAUACUUCUGACAACACAGAACAAGGCUUUCCACAUUGUCUAGAUUUGAUUUAUAAUUAAAAAGUAAUAAAUUUUUCGUUUAAUUGUCUCUCAUUCUUUAAAUCUAAAUGUUUUUAUUUCUUUUGCUUAUUAGCUGCUGAAUAAAAGUGCAUCAAUAACAAAAUUUGUAUAAUUUAUUAACUUACCUUUACAAACUCAGAUGCCACCAGUAAGAGCUACACAUACUUGAGGAACAAUGUUCAUCACUUGCUUGGAGACUUCAAAUAAACUGAGGCUAGUGUAGGAAUAGCCA